rnacentral:rRNA from 1 species
GACGAACGCUGGCGGCGUGCUUAACACAUGCAAGUCGAACGGAAAGGCCCUGCUUUUGUGGGGUGCUCGAGUAGCGAACGGGUGAGUAACACGUGAGUAACCUGCCCUUGACUUUGGGAUAACUUCAGGAAACUGGGGCUAAUACCGGAUAGGAGCUCCUGCUGCAUGGUGGGGGUUGGAAAGUUUCGGCGGUUGGGGAUGGACUCGCGGCUUAUCAGCUUGUUGGUGGGGUAGUGGCUUACCAAGGCUUUGACGGGUAGCCGGCCUGAGAGGGUGACCGGCCACAUUGGGACUGAGAUACGGCCCAGACUCCUACGGGAGGCAGCAGUGGGGAAUAUUGCACAAUGGGCGGAAGCCUGAUGCGGCAACGCCGCGUGCGGGAUGACGGCCUUCGGGUUGUAAACCGCUUUCGCCUGUGACGAAGCGUGAGUGACGGUAAUGGGUAAAGAAGCACCGGCUAACUACGUG